UCUUUCUCAAAUCACGCCCGUGACUAUGAGACAGAGGGGUGGCCGCCCCAGGUGAGCCGUGCUGCCAUCACGAUGUUACCAGAUUCGAGGCUUUCUCCUAAGAUAUUUUCAAACACAGAGUACUUUUUAAAGUACUCACUCCUUUAUUUGCCAUUUGUAGAAAGCCCAGUGAGCACUUGAGCAGGGUGAAGAAAGUGCAGACUGUUCUUCAUUCGUAAGAAUACUCUGAUAACCCCGGCAAAGUGUGGAGUAAGCCGAGAAAGAAGCAAGCACUGGAGUCCUGCCAGCCCCUGGCCCAGCUUCUUGAUGGCUGUACCAGAUGUCUGAAUCAACCUCGGCAGAAGGGCCAGGUGUUCUUUUAAAUUUGAAAUUACAAGCAGAAACAUAAGACCUUUUUAUGUCUUCUUUGAAGAAACAGUUAGAGGAUAAAAAAGCGGCAGCCGUCGACCUGACUUGGAUUGAGACUUCUCAGCCAAAUCCCAGUGAGAAAACCAUUUCCCUUUCCCGCUCUGAGGGAGUGGGGGGGUCCCCAUGGUCGCAGACCUCUGCCCUCUCUUCCUGACCACAGAGAAGUGCUCAGCCGAUCAAAGAGGACAAAUGCUCCAAGGAGACCACUCUGCCUCCCCACCUGGAGGACAGGCACACCUCCCAGGGGACCUGUUUCCUCUGGACUUUCUCAAGGGGCAUGACAGGAUCUUAAAAAAUGUCUGGGCUUGAAAGGCAAAAAGUCAACCUUCAGAUUUGUGUUCAGGAAGAAAGAAGACAGGCUGGUCAAAAUUAUAUCCACUAGACAUGCAGUCAGUGAGCCGGUGUGCUUUUUAAUAAGCCAACAAACAUAAAAAACAAGACGUGAUGCCGUCCAUUGGCUGGAUUAGAAACAAGGACACUGCAAAAGAAUUUACCAAAGGAGGCUUUGAAUGGAUCUACUCUCCUUCCAAUAGACUGUUCUGUCUGUUGAAUACAUUCUUCAGAGGAUCAGAAAUGCUUUUUCACCCAGGACCUAGAACAUCUGGAGCAAAAGCAGUGCUCAAGGGCCUCCAAACUGCAUAAGCUUCAGCAUGUGUGGAAGUUUGGAGCCUAAAAGAAGUAGGGUAUGAUUAACAGCAUCCAAAUGGCCCCUGAAAGGUCCUAGUCGCCCGGUACUGAUGUUCCUAUGGAAUUGAUUUCUCCUGAAUGUGGCUUGGACUUGGAGACCAACUUCUAACAAAUAAGCUUGGACAAAAGUGAUGGGAUGUCACUUUGGAAUUUACAUUAUAAAAAGAAAACAAGACUAUACUUUUCUAUUGGGUGUCUCUCUCUCUGAAGGAAGCUGCUGACAUGUGAUCAGCCCUAUGGAGAGAUGCACAAUAGCCAAGACCUGAUGUCUCUGGCUCAUAGACAGAUUGCACCUGAGGCCUGCCAACAGCAACCAUGUAAGUAUGCUUGGCAUGGAAUUGUUCCCCCUCUGUGAGCCUUGAGAUGCAGCCUGACAAACACCUUCAUCAUCCAAACUUGUGCAAGACCUGAGACAUAGGCAUCCAGCUAAACCACACCCAGAUUCCUGAGCCACAGAAAUUGUGAGAUUCUAAAUGCUGUUUGGAGUAGCUAGGUUGUCGAGCAAUUUGUUAUGUACUAAUAGAUGAUUAAUAUAUUGGGGAAAGAUAAAGAUAAUUUAAUCAACUUGUUAAAUCCUUCUUCUCAGAUAGCGUGGAAGGAAUAUUGUCUUGUUUAAUGAAAUACCAUUUCCUGAUACUGCUGAAAAUCCAUUUCCUUGUUUCUCUUUAUGUUCUGAUACAGGGCUCUGGGAUACUCAUGAAUAAGCAUAAUACCCACGUUUGCCCUUAGUAGUUGCUGAACAACUCAUAAUAUUAAAGAAUUUGCAUUGUUCUUAAAUUUGUAUGUAUGUGGCUUUAGGUGAAACAUAUAUGAAAUGUGAUAAGCUUCUUUUCACUGUAGACUAGACAGAUACUAAAUGUUAGAAUUAGGGAAUUUUACUUUUUAAAAAACAUUUUAAAACAUUUUCUUCUGUAUUUGAUAACAUUUUUAAAAUUCAGCUUUAAAUAAAUUUCAGUGUAAAAUCAA